rnacentral:rRNA from 1 species
GUGCUCUUUGCAGUUAGGGGCGGAUGAGUGAUGCAUCGUGUCUGCCUACCUAUAAGACUGGAAUAACUUCGGGAAACCGGAUAUAAUGCCGGACAACCGUUGGAACCGCGGGGAUCUUAAGUAAAAGAUGGAUUUGCUAUCACUUAUAGAUGGACCCGCGCCGUAUUAGCUAGUUGGCAAGGUAACGGCUUACCAAGGCAACGAUACGUAGCCGACCUGAGAGGGUGAUCGGGAACCAUGGACCUGACACACGCGCCAGACUCCUACGGGAGGUAUUGGUAGGUAAUCUUCCGCAAUGGACAAAAGUCUGACGGAGCAACGCCGCGUGAUCGAUGAAGGUUUUCGUAUCGUAAAACUCUGUUAUUAGGAAAGAACAACUGUGUAAGUAACUGUGCACAUCUUGACGGUACCUAAUCAGAAAGCCACGGCUAACUACGUGCCAGCAGCCGGGGUAAUACGUAGGUCGCAAGCGUUAUCCGGAAUUAUUGGGCGUAAAGCGCGCGUAGGCGGUUUCUUAAGUCUGAUGUGAAAGCCCGCGACUCGCCCGUGGAGGGUCAUUGCUAAACUGGGAAACUUGAGUGCAGAAGAUGAAAGUGUAAUUCCAUGUGUCGCGGAGAAAU